UACGAAGGAUCCAAGCGUUAUCCGGAUUCAUUGGGUUUAAAGGGUGCGUAGGCGGGCUUAUAAGUCAGCGGUGAAAUCUCUCGGCUUAACCGAGAAACUGCCGUUGAUACUGUAGGUCUAGAGUACAGAUGAUGUUGGCGGAAUAUGACAUGUAGCGGUGAAAUGCUUAGAUAUGUCAUAGAACACCGAUUGCGAAGGCAGCUGACAAAACUGUAACUGACGCUGAGGCACGAAAGUGCGGGGAUCAAACAGG
rnacentral:rRNA from 1 species